UACGAAGGGGGCUAGCGUUGUUCGGAAUCACUGGGCGUAAAGCGCACGUAGGCGGAUUGUUAAGUCGGGGGGUGAAAUCCUGAGGCUCAACCUCAGAACUGCCUUCGAUACUGGCAAUCUCGAGUCCGGAAGAGGUUGGUGGAACAGCUAGUGUAGAGGUGAAAAUUCGUAGAUAUUAGCUAGAAACACCCAGUGGCGAAGGGCGGCCAAACUGGUCCGGUACUGACG
rnacentral:rRNA from 1 species